ensembl:rRNA 5S_rRNA 5S ribosomal RNA
GCUUACGGCCAUACCAGCCCAAGAAUGCCCCGAACUCGUCUGAUCUCGGAAGCUAAGAAGGCUUGGGCCUGGUUAGUACUUGGAUGGGAGACCUCCUGGGAAUACCAGGUGCUGUAAGCU